rnacentral:sRNA from 1 species
CCAAUCUUUUAUGAUUCUGCAUCUUAACUGAUUUUUCUGAUCAUACUUUCUUGUCAACCAUCAUAAUUGAGUGUUUGGUUAUGGAACAAGAUUUGUGUCUUUGGGUGCUGUGAGCAAUGAUUUAGUUGAAGAGAGUGUGGAAGGUGAUGACCUAAGGAGCAGAAUCUUGAGGCUAAGGCUCCCCAAGCGAAGCGCCACAAACAUUCUUCAGAAAUGGGUCCUUCAAGGGAAUCCUGUUACGUUCUCUCAGCUUCGAGAUAUUUCCAAAGAGCUUCGAAGAUCACAAGGGAAAGUAGUGCAAUUGCUGUUUGUUUUGUCAUAUCAUGCAAUAUGUAUUAGAUUCGUUUGGUUAAUUGUAGGUGUAGUGCAUUAGGAAUUCAAUUUUGCACGUUGCUAUUAUUCGUUUGGAUAAGUGCAGAUUUUUCAGAGAAAUAAAUGAGCUGUUAUAGUGAAUUGGAAUUUGC